UCACUUCUUAUGGACCCGAAGCCGGGUGAUCUAACCAUGGCCAGGAUGAAGCUUGGGUAAAACCAAGUGGAGGUCCGAACCGACCGAUGUUGAAAAAUCGGCGGAUGAGCUGUGGUUAGGGGUGAAAUGCCAAUCGAACUCGGAGCUAGCUGGAUCUCCCCGAAAUGCGUUGAGGCGCAGCGGUUAACGAUGGGCUGCCUAGGGGUAAAGCACUGUUUCGGUGCGGGCUGCGAGAGCGGUACCAAAUCGUAGCAAACUAAGAAUACUAGGCACUGCUUUCCGUUAACCAGUGAGACGGUGGGGGAUAAGCUCCAUCGUCGAGAGGGAAACAGCCCAGAUCACCAGCUAAGGCCCCAAAAUGACCGCUAAGUGGCAAAGGAGGUGAGAAUGCUGAAACAACCAGGAGGUUUGCUUAGAAGCAGCCACCCUUUAAAGAGUGCGUAAGAGCUCACUGGUGGAGCGUUCUUGCGCCGAAAAUGAACGGGACUAAGCGGUCUGCCGAAGCUGUGGGUAAUAUCAUUAUUUGAUAUUACGGUAGGGGAGCGUUCCGCUCUAGGGUGAAGCAUCAACGUAAGUUGGUGUGGACAAAGCGGAAGUGAGAAUGUCGGCUUGAGUAACGAAAACAUUGGUGAGAAUCCAAUGCCCCGAAAACCUAAGGCUUCCUCCACUAGGCUCGUCCAUGGGGGGUUAGUCGGGACCUAAGGCCAGGCCGAAAGGCGUAGUCGAUGGAAAACAGGUUAAUAUUCCUGUACUGAUUUUGAAGUGGUACCGAGGGACGAAGGAGGUAACAGUUGGCCAAUAUUGGAUGUUGGCGGAAACGUUCAAGGUGAUGAGAGAUA
rnacentral:rRNA from 13 species